GAUGAACGCUGGCGGCGUGCCUAAUACAUGCAAGUCGAACGAAACUUCUUUAUCACCGAGUGCUUGCACUCACCGAUAAAGAGUUGAGUGGCGAACGGGUGAGUAACACGUGGGCAACCUGCCCAAAAGAGGGGGAUAACACUUGGAAACAGGUGCUAAUACCGCAUAACCAUAGUUACCGCAUGGUAACUAUGUAAAAGGUGGCUAUACUACCGCUUUUGGAUGGGCCCGCGGCGCAUUAGCUAGUUGGCAGGGUAAAGGCUUACCAAGGCAAUGAUGCGUAGCCGAAUUGAGAGGUUGAGCGGCCACAUUGGGACUGAGCCACGGCCCAAACUCCUACGGGAGGCAGCAGUAGGGAAUCUUCCGCAAUGGGCGAAAGCCUGAUGGAGCAACGCCGCGUGGGUGAAGAAGGUCUUCGGAUCGUAAAACCCUGUUGUUAGAGAAGAAAGUGCGUGAGAGUAACUGUUCACGUUUCGACGGUAUCUAACCAGAAAGCCACGGCUAACUACGUG
rnacentral:rRNA from 1 species